UGGAGGUAUCAGAAGUGCGAAUGCUGACAUAAGUAACGAUAAAGCGGGUGAAAAGCCCGCUCGCCGGAAGACCAAGGGUUCCUGUCCAACGUUAAUCGGGGCAGGGUGAGUCGACCCCUAAGGCGAGGCCGAAAGGCGUAGUCGAUGGGAAACGGGUUAAUAUUCCCGUACUUGGUGUUACUGCGAAGGGGGGACGGAGAAGGCUAUGUUGGCCGGGCGACGGUUGUCCCGGUUUAAGCGUGUAGGUGUGUGUUCCAGGUAAAUCCGGUUCACUUUAACACUGAGGCGUGACGACGAGGCACUACGGUGCUGAAGCAACAAAUGCCCUGCUUCCAGGAAAAGCCUCUAAGCAUCAGGUAACAUCAAAUCGUACCCCAAACCGACACAGGUGGUCAGGUAGAGAAUACCAAGGCGCUUGAGAGAACUCGGGUGAAGGAACUAGGCAAAAUGGUGCCGUAACUUCGGGAGAAGGCACGCUGACACGUAGGUGAAGUGAUUUACUCAUGGAGCUGAAGUCAGUCGAAGAUACCAGCUGGCUGCAACUGUUUAUUAAAAACACAGCACUGUGCAAACACGAAAGUGGACGUAUACGGUGUGACGCCUGCCCGGUGCCGGAAGGUUAAUUGAUGGGGUCAGCGCAAGCGAAGCUCCUGAUCGAAGCCCCGGUAAACGGCGGCCGUAACUAUAACGGUCCUAAGGUAGCGAAAUUCCUUGUCGGGUAAGUUCCGACCUGCACGAAUGGCGUAAUGAUGGCCAGGCUGUCUCCACCCGAGACUCAGUGAAAUUGAACUCGCUGUGAAGAUGCAGUGUACCCGCGGCAAGACGGAAAGACCCCGUGAACCUUUACUAUAGCUUGACACUGAACAUUGAGCCUUGAUGUGUAGGAUAGGUGGGAGGCUUUGAAGUGUGGACGCCAGUCUGCAUGGAGCCGACCUUGAAAUACCACCCUUUAAUGUUUGAUGUUCUAACGUGGACCCGUUACCCGGGUUGCGGACAGUGUCUGGUGGGUAGUUUGACUGGGGCGGUCUCCUCCUAAAGAGUAACGGAGGAGCACGAAGGUUGGCUAAUCCUGGUCGGACAUCAGGAGGUUAGUGCAAUGGCAUAAGCCAGCUUGACUGCGAGCGUGACGGCGCGAGCAGGUGCGAAAGCAGGUCAUAGUGAUCCGGUGGUUCUGAAUGGAAGGGCCAUCGCUCAACGGAUAAAAGGUACUCCGGGGAUAACAGGCUGAUACCGCCCAAGAGUUCAUAUCGACGGCGGUGUUUGGCACCUCGAUGUCGGCUCAUCACAUCCUGGGGCUGAAGUAGGUCCCAAGGGUAUGGCUGUUCGCCAUUUAAAGUGGUACGCGAGCUGGGUUUAGAACGUCGUGAGACAGUUCGGUCCCUAUCUGCCGUGGGCGCUGGAGAACUGAGGGGGGCUGCUCCUAGUACGAGAGGACCGGAGUGGACGCAUCACUGGUGUUCGGGUUGUCAUGCCAAUGGCACUGCCCGGUAGCUAAAUGCGGAAGAGAUAAGUGCUGAAAGCAUCUAAGCACGAAACUUGCCCCGAG
rnacentral:rRNA from 1 species